UGACGUCACUAAUUAAUCUGGAGAAAGUGAAUGAUCCAGUGCCGUACCUGAUAAGUAAUACCAAAAAGCUACCUGUUCAGUAACCAGGGCACUUUGGUGCAGGCCAGAGCCGAUCUCAGUUUGACAGCUUCAGCUGCGACUGUGGCCUUCUGGAACAUCUGCCAGCCAAAAUUCCACUCUUCUGCACCACCUGCAGCGAUGGCGUCACAGUACACCGUCGACCUCAGGACCUGGUGAUCGGACUCCAGUUGGCUGAGAAGUCGCUCCCAGUUCCCAAGGUCGUAGUUCACUCUGAAGUAACCUGACACAUGGAGGUUGGCCAGCACCCAUUCAUUUUUGCUGACUUUCAUGGGGUUGUGUAGAGCUUAGAGCAGAUAAAAUAAGGAUAUGGUGUUGAACAUUUCGCUGAUUUCUGAGGGUGUGUUGACCUCUUCCUCCUUUCGGGAGAGGGGGUGAGAGGAAGUCAAGCUAUCCACAGCAAACGCUCUUUGCAGGUCAUAAAGAAUCAUCUGGUCUUUCUGGCGAGAGACAGAGUUGAUUGUAAAUUACGUUACAAGGUGGGCUCAGCAUAAUCAGCGCCCAGAUACUCCACGUAUGAAGCGAAUCCCUCGUUCAGCCAGAGAUCAUUCCACCAUUUCAGCGUCACAAGGUUUCCAAACCACUGGAAGACACAUAAAUCACAUGGCAAACUGUGCGAAGCAAAAAACGUCCGCGGAUCGUAUAGAAGAGCCGUCUCUCUAUAAGUGACAAGACCCCAGUUUUCCAUGGCUCCUGAGUUGAAGUCAGGCAAUGCAAUCUGGUCUAAGAAAACAGGAGGAUAACUGCUUAUUCUACUGUGCUUUUAAGGUGCUGUCAUUUCCAGGUCAUGGAUGAGAGUGAUAUGAAACACAGCUUUCAUGCCAGGUUCAUCGAAACACGGGAAAGCUUUUCUAGCAAACCCUCCAGAUCAUCAGCAAGCUCUCCUGUGAACUCUGUGUAGAGCCAAUAGGACUUGCCAGGCUUCAGUUUUCCCUCCAGUUGAAUUACCAGGUGCUUCCUCUUGAUGCCUGGCCUCAUUUACCAUCUUCCUGUUAUCAUGUUAUUCCACCAGCUGGAUCUGAAUAUAAACCAGUAUGGAAAUUGAUCCUAACAGCUGUAAAACCAUUUUGCUUAAAUGCUUGUCUGACAGCUAUAAGCCUUUCGCUCUGCUGCGUACGACCAUCUCAACCUGGAAGUUAUUUGAUUCUGUCUGCUCGCUUGAUUCCUGGAAAGAAGAGAAAAAGCCCUCCCUAGAAUCAUUCUCAAGGAGAUUCUUACAUGCAGGUAUAUAACUGGAUCAUCAGCAUACAUCUGACAAUUUGCAGUAGGUGCACAAGCAUCAGGAAAGUCAUUAUUAUACAAACUGAAUAACAAAGGACCUAAUAUUGAACCUUGAGGUACACCAACUGAAUUAAUAAACAGCUCCCACCGUGAAGAACUUCUUGUGGAAUAGAAAGGUUCCCUGUAUAAUAAAGGUUCUUUGUGGAACCACUGAUGUCAAUAAACAACAUUUAUUUUUAGGAGCGUGAGGAGAUAUUUGGAUUGGGGCACAUUUAUAAUUUUUCACCCCUUUUCCCAUCUCAUCCCGAAUUCCAUUCCUCCUCAAAAACAAACAGUGGCUCAUUAGCAUGUGUGACCCUCUGGUGGUAAACACAUUUAUUUCCACUUGAGCGCAGAGAGAGAAUUAAAGCAACAAGGGGCGCUCGAGGUAGGUGGGCUGUGUGCCGUCUUUAUGGGGACGGUUUAUGAGGAUUUAACAAAUGCAAGAGGACAGGCAAAACAUUGAGUGGGUGGGGAGAUCGGAAGGGCACGCUGGUACAGUUUGUGCUCGUUGGAGGCUGGAUCGCUGUAGUUGUAGUCUUGGGUGGCCGUGGAUGUACAGUCCAUUGUUUAAUGGGUGUAUGUGUGCUCUCUCCCUAUAAUUUUCUAAAUGUGACAAGGGCUUAAAUGUGUGUGCCAGGAUCGAGUUAUUUGUGCCACGUUAACACAGUUCUUUUGUGCUCUCCUCUUUGGGCCGAAAGAGCUCUGUAAUUAUGCUGAUAAUCAAGACUGUCACAGAUUAUACUUCGGUAAAAAGGCUUUUCUUGUUUCAUUAGAGAAAGGACCACCAACAUCCAAACAAACCCUGAGCUUGCUGUGCUCUGUAUCCCCUGUUUGUUUGAAAACGGACUGUAUCAGCCACAGGGUUCAAUGAUAAUCUUCAGUAUCGGAAGGCAGUUAAUUGUACUAUUUAUACAUGUUUAUACCUAAAAGAAUUGGUUUUGAAUCAUCUCAAAAGGAAUAAUGCCCAUGCAGCUUACUGACCACUGUCUCUACCUAAUAUACUCCAGAAUUUGUGCCCCGUUUGUGAUCGUGGUUAGUGUAAUCAUAGAAUUUGACUUUUUAUCUUUUUUUUCAAAUUGCUGUAAUUUUUAUUUGGUUUUAUUUUAUAUGUAUUUUUAAGUUAUUAUUCUUUUCAUGGACACUAUAAUGUGGAGGUUUGAAAAUAUUCAUGAUUAUGCAGUUUUUUUUAAUUUAUUUACUUAAUUUUCAUUUUGUUUUAUUUUAGAUAUAUUUUAAAAUGAUUACUGUUAGUAUUAUUGUCACAGACAACAUAAUGUGGA